ACAAUCAACUAUACUCAUAAUUUAAAUUUUAAUCUACUUACUACUGCUACUUAAAUCUAUGAAUUGUGCUAUCUAAACCUAAAUAUUUGCUACUUAAACACUACGAUCUACUUAUAACUAAUGAAUUUAAAUAACAUAGAAAAGAACAUCACAAUAAACAAUCACCACCACAUUUGAAUUUUAAACAUAAAACUUCCUAUGUUUUAUUUCGGAAGGCAAAACCCUUAGUUUGACCCCAAACAUUUGGUCCUUCGAACCGGAUAAGUGGUUUUUUUAAAUAAUUAAAAAACCAAAAAUCAAAAAAAAUUUUCUGUUUUCUGCCCAAAAAUAAUUCAUUUUCAUUUCAAAAGACCCAGUGACCGAAACACAAAAAAUUCGCAACAACAAAAGUGCAGUGACCCACCAAUUAAAAGCAAAACUACAAAAAUUGCAAAAGGCGCCAACACACAAUUCUGGACCCAAGCCAAGCGCCCACCUACACACACACACACAUACACACACAUCAAAAAAGAAGCUUCAAA